AGUGAACGCUGGCGGUAGGCCUAACACAUGCAAGUCGAACGGCAGCACAGUAAGAGCUUGCUCUUACGGGUGGCGAGUGGCGGACGUGUGAGGAAUACAUCGGAAUCUACUUUUUCGUGGGGGAUAACGUAGGGAAACUUACGCUAAUACCGCAUACGCCCUACGGGUGAAAGCAGGGGAUCUUCUGACCUUGCGCGAUUGAAUUAGCCGCUUUCCGACUAGCUAGUUGGCGGGGUAAAGGCCCACCCAGGCGACGAUCCGUAGCUAGUCUGAGGGGAUGAUCAGCCCCACUGGAACUGAGACACGGGCCAGACUCCUACGGGAGGCAGCAGUGGGGAAUAUUGGAAAAUGGGCGCAAGCCUGAUCCAGCGAUACCGCGUGGGUGAAGAAGGCCUUCGGGUUGUAAAGCCCUUUUGUUGGGAAAGAAAAGCAGCAGGUUAAUACCCCGCUGUUCGGACGGUACCCAAAGAAUAAGCACCGGCUAACUUCGU
rnacentral:rRNA from 1 species